CAAGGGUCUGUAGCUCAGGUGGUUAGAGCACCGUCUUGAUAAGGCGGGGGUCGUAGGUUCAAGUCCUACCAGACCCA
rnacentral:tRNA from 1 species